rnacentral:rRNA from 1 species
AUUGAACGCUGGCGGAAUGCUUUACACAUGCAAGUCGAACGGUAGAGGGGGCAACCCCUUGAGAGUGGCGAACGGGUGAGUAAUAUAUCGGAACGUGCCCAGUCGUGGGGAUAACGUAGCGAAAGUUACGCUAAUACCGCAUACGAUCUAAGGAUGAAAGCGGGGGACUCGCAAGAGCCUCGCGCGAUUGGAGCGGCCGAUAUCAGAUUAGGUAGUUGGUGGGGUAAAGGCUCACCAAGCCAACGAUCUGUAGCUGGUCUGAGAGGACGACCAGCCACACUGGAACUGAGACACGGUCCAGACUCCUACGGGAGGCAGCAGUGGGGAAUUUUUGGACAAUGGGCGCAAGCCUGAUCCAGCAAUGCCGCGUGCAGGAUGAAGGCCUU